GCCUACGGGGCGCAGCAGUAGGGAAUCUUCCACAAUGGACGAAAGUCUGAUGGAGCAACGCCGCGUGAGUGAAGAAGGUUUUCGGAUCGUAAAACUCUGUUGUUAGAGAAGAACGUGCGUGAGAGUAACUGUUCAUGCAGUGACGGUAUCUAACCAGAAAGCCACGGCUAACUACGUGCCAGCAGCCGCGGUAAUACGUAGGUGGCAAGCGUUGUCCGGAUUUAUUGGGCGUAAAGGGAACGCAGGCGGUUUUUUAAGUCUGAUGUGAAAGCCUUCGGCUUAACCGAAGUCGUGCAUUGGAAACU
rnacentral:rRNA from 1 species